UGGGGAAUCUUCCGCAAUGGGCGAAAGCCUGACGGAGCAACGCCGCGUGAGUGAAGACGGCCUUCGGGUUGUAAAACUCUGUGAUUCGGGACGAAAGAUAAGCAGACGAAUAAUCUGCAUAAGUGACGGUACCGAAAAAGCAAGCCACGGCUAACUACGUGCCAGCAGCCGCGGUAAUACGUAGGUGGCAAGCGUUGUCCGGAAUUAUUGGGCGUAAAGCGCGCGCAGGCGGCUACUUAAGUCCAUCUUAAAAGUGCGGGGCUUAACCCCGUGAUGGGAUGGAAACUGAGAAGCUGGAGUGUCGGAGAGGAAAGUGGAAUUCCUAGUGUAGCGGUGAAAUGCGUAGAUAUUAGGAGGAAUACCGGUGGCGAAGGCGACUUUCUGGACUUUUACUGACGCUCAGGUACGAAAGCGUGGGGAGCAAACAGG
rnacentral:rRNA from 1 species